GGGGGUGUUCUGGAUUCUACCCUUGGUUGGAGUGCGCCGCUGCCUGUCGAGUGUCGUAAGGUCACUCGUUAAUCCCCCUUCGAACCAAUAAGAGGCAACUACGAAGAAAUGCCCAUGGCGGCCUAAUUAGGCUGCUACGUUGGUCCGGCGACACCUGCUAGCCGUGACCGACGUCGACAGCAGGUAUAGCGCGCGGAGCGGUCCGCGGACUGCGCGCCGUAUCUUCAUCCGGGGAAUAGCUGGGGCCUUAGCGCGUGUGACGGCUUGGUCCUGGCGAAAUUAAAGUCACGCUAAACAUGGUAGACGCGGUGUGCGAAGGUCAGGGGCACGCGGGUUCAACUCCCGCCACCUCCACCA
rfam:Opitutus terrae PB90-1, complete genome.